AAUACAACUUUCAGCAACGGAUCUCUUGGCUCUCGCAUCGAUGAAGAACGCAGCGAAAUGCGAUAAGUAAUGUGAAUUGCAGAAUUCAGUGAAUCAUCGAAUCUUUGAACGCACCUUGCGCUCCUUGGUAUUCCGAGGAGCAUGCCUGUUUGAGUGUC
rnacentral:rRNA from 2 species